rnacentral:rRNA from 1 species
GACGAACGCUGGCGGCGUGCUUAACACAUGCAAGUCGAGCGGUAAGGCCCUUUCGGGGGUACACGAGCGGCGAACGGGUGAGUAACACGUGGGUGACCUGCCCUCAGCUCUGGGAUAAGCCUGGGAAACCGGGUCUAAUACCGGAUAUGACUCCAUGACGCAUGUUGUGGGGUGGAAAGCCUUGUGCGGCUGAGGAUGGGCCCGCGGCCUAUCAGCUUGUUGGUGGGGUGAUGGCCUACCGAGGCGACGACGGGUAGCCGGCCUGAGAGGGCGACCGGCCACACUGGGACUGAGACACGGCCCAGACUCCUACGGGAGGCAG